rnacentral:rRNA from 1 species
GGGGAAUUUUGGACAAUGGGCGAAAGCCUGAUCCAGCAACGAUGCGUGGAGGAUGAAGGUUCUCGGAUUGUAAACUCCUUUUGAGAGGGAAGAAAAAAAUGACGGUACCUCUCGAAUAAGCCACGGCUAACUACGUGCCAGCAGCCGCGGUAAGACGUAGGUGGCAAGCGUUACUCGGAAUUACUAGGCGUAAAGCGCGCGUAGGCGGAAUGUUAAGUCUGUUGUGUAAUCUCCGGGCUCAACCCGGAAACUGCAACGGAAACUGGCGUUCUUGAGUGAGGCAGAGGAGAUCGGAAUUCCUAGUGUAGCAGUGAAAUGCGUAGAUAUUAGGAGGAACACCGGUGGCGAAGGCGGAUCUCUGGGCCUUUACUGACGCUCAAGUGCGAAAGCUAGGGGAGCAAACGGGA